rnacentral:misc_RNA from 1 species
GGGGGGGGGUACUGAUAAGCCCCUCAGAAGGUCAUCCAGAGCUAUUGUUCCCAAUAAGAAGUAUUUGGACUAAGGGUCCUACUGCUUUUCUAUUUUUAGCAUUGCUGCUAUUUUUUUAUUUACUGCCAUUAAUCUUUUAAGUUGUUUUACUUAGUCAAAUAGCACUCAGUUGAUCGUGGCAAUAAUAUCUCUUUGUGCUAAAGUGAGGCCUUAAGAAUAGGACUAAGUAGUUUUAUUUCUUUCCUAUUUAUAUUCUUCUGUAGCAGCAGUAAUGGUAAUCAAUGAAAUAUCAGUAACUUUCUUAAUUUUCUUCUAUUAAUUUUCUUGGCUUUGACUGGGACCUAUCAUUGGUAUCAGAGCCUCAAUUUUUUUCUAUUCUUCCUUUCAAAUGGCUACAAACAAGGAAAGAAUUGAAAACCUCGAAACUGGGCUUGGUCAAGUCCAGGACAGUAUGUCACGAAUUGAAAAAGGAUUUGGAGAAGAUUUACAAUAUAUCAAGGCGGCACUCUCCAAAUUGACAGAAACUUCUCUUGCCAAUAAGGAGGAAUCAAGCUGCGAAGGCGACCGAGCUAGCCAGAUACGUGCUACUCCUGAAGUCUUAAAAGACGGAGGGAAGCCACUAUUCUCUGCUAAGCUCGCCAAACUCGAAUUUCCCAAAUAUACCGGAGAUGAUCCGACUGAAUGGUUCACCAGAGUAGAUCAGUUCUUCGAAUACCAGGGAACACCAGAUGCAGAAAAAGUUUCCUUGGCAUCAUAUCACCUCCGCGGGGAAGCUAACGAGUGGUGGCAAUGGCUUCGACGAACUUAUGCUGAGGCCGGAAAAGGGGUAUCGUGGGAAAUAUUCUCAGAAGAAUUGUGGUCCCGCUUUGGGCCCACCGACUGUGAAGAUUUUGACGAAUCUCUCUCCAAAAUUCGUCAGACUGGUGACUUACGUGAUUAUCAAAGGGAGUUUGAACGAUUGGGUAACAGGGUGAGAGGUUGGACUCAGAAGGCACUAGUUGGAACCUUCAUGGGGGGACUUAAAUCUGAAAUCGCAGAGGGGAUCAGAAUGUUUAAACCCAAGACCUUGAAGGAUGCAAUAAGCUUAGCUCGAAUGAAGGAUGAGCAAUUGCUUCGUCAUAAAAAAAGCAAUUCGCCCAUCUCUCCAAACGAGUAAUUUCUCUCCAUCAAAAAGCAAACCUUCCACUCCUGUGAAGCGACUAACCUGGGACGAGAUGCAGAAGCGAAGGGCACAGGGGCUCUGUUUUAACUGUGACGAAAAGUUUGCUCCUGGUCACCGUUGUACUAAGUCACAGCUUCUCAUCUUGGAUGGUGGAUGUGAUCAGGACAUCGAUGAAGAUGAUACGAAAGCGGAAAUUUCCUUGAAUGCCUUAACCGGUUGGUCUUCGACAGGAACGAUGAGGGUAGAAAUUCAGUUUAAUUCUUGUCAAUUGAUUGUCCUCAUUGACAGCGGUUCGACUCAUAACUUCAUCAAUGAGAAAAUCGCCGGUUUGCUCAAAUUGCCGGCCAGGCCAACAACACCUUUCAAUGUUAAAGUGGCGGAUGGAAGUCCAUUGCGAUGCACCGGAAAAUUCAAGGAUAUUGCUUUUUCUCUCCAAGGUAUACCAUUUACAGCUACGUUCUUUUCUCUUCCUAUAAUGGGUUUGGACGUUGUGUUGGGUGUACAGUGGCUACAACAAUUAGGGACGGUGGCAUGUAAUUGGAAGAACUUGACUAUGGACUUCACAUGGGCAGGCCAACCGAGACAUUUGCAGGGUAUUUGCAGUCAGCCAAUUGAACCUCUAUCCUUGAAAUCAAUAUCCAAGGAAUUGAGGCACAAUAGUACAGCUUUUGCAAUCUGUAUCGAAAACUCUACAGCCACACUUCCUGAGCAUCUACAUCCUAAUAUGCUGCAUCUGUUAACUCAGUUUUCUGAUGUAUACCAGAAGCCGAGUAAGCUGCCUCCCCGGCGAGAAAUUAAUCAUCACAUUAUUCUUAAAGAGGGUGUUGAUCCGGUGAAUGUUCGCCCUUACAGAUAUGCUCACUUCCAGAAAAAUGAGAUCAAAAAACAGGUACAAGAGAUGUUGACAAAAGGGUUGAUUCGACCCAGCACUAGCCCCUUCUCAUCCCCUGUUCUACUGGUCAAGAAAAAGGAUGGCUCCUGGAGGUUCUGUACGGACUACCGAGCUCUUAAUCAAGUCACUAUCAGAGAUCGUUUUCCAAUACCAACGGUCGACGAUAUGUUAGAUGAGCUCCAUGGUUCCUCUUAUUUUACUAAACUGGACUUUAUUGCAGGAUUUCAUCAAGUCAGGAUGCAUCCUCCUGAUAUUCAGAAAACGGCCUUCCGAACUCAUAACGGCCAUUAUGAGUAUCUGGUGAUGCCUUUUGGGCUGUGCAACGCGCCCUCCACAUUCCAGGCGCUAAUGAACACUGCUUUCCGCCCCUACUUAAGAAAAUUCGUCUUGGUUUUCUUUGACGAUGUUCUUAUUUACAGUCCAUCAUGGGAGACUCAUCUGGAGCAUGUGCAGUUGGCAUUACAGCUACUGCGGCAACAUCAAUUUUUUAUAAAGCUAAGCAAAUGUGCUUUUGGACUCAAACAAAUUGAAUAUUUGGGUCAUGUGGUUUCUGGAGAUGGAGUGCAGGUGGAUAAAUCGAAAAUCAGUGCAAUACUGGAUUGGCCUACUCCAACAACAGUCACUGAAUUACGUGGGUUUUUAGGACUCACCGGGUACUACAGAAAAUUCGUUCAAUCUUAUGGGAUUCUUGCCCAACCAUUGACGAAUUUAUUGAAGAAAGGCAAAUUUUUUUGGUCACCAGAUGCUGAAGCUUCUUUUUUAGCUUUGAAAAAUGCUUUGACAGCCACACCAACAUUGGCAGUACCCAAUUUUAAUGAACCUUUUUUUAUCACUACUGAUGCUUCUAAUACAGGGAUUGGUGCAGUUCUGUCACAGCAGGAUCGGCCCAUCGCUUUUAUGAGUCGUGCUUUGGGUCCUUCGAAGCAAGCUUGGUCUACAUAUGCUAAAGAAAUGCUCGCCAUCUUGCAGGCAAUCAGAACAUGGCGUCCUUAAAUUUUGGGUCGUAAGUUCUUUAUUCAGACGGACCAGCGUAGUUUGAAAUACUUGGUGGAACAGAGAGUUGUCACUCCAGAGCAACAAAAUUGGGUUUCAAAGUUACUGGGUUAUGAUUAUGAGAUACUUUAUAAACCGGGCAAAGAGAAUCGGGUCGCAGAUGCUUUAUCUCGCGUCUCUGGAAUUCCAAGUCUAAAUUCACUAUUUUUGCCACACUCUUCUCUUUGGGAUCGCAUUAAAGCUACCCUCACUACUGAUCCAUAUAUGCUUCGAAUUGGUCAAUUGGCGUCUGAUCGCCCUGGGCAACCUUACAUUUGGAAGAAUGGAUUGAUUUUUUUUAAGAAUCGGGUGGUCAUUCCUCCUCAGUCUGAUCUCCCUACUCAGCUUUUACAAGAGUUCCAUGAUUCUCCUUCGGGUGGCCACUCUGGAGUCCUCCGCACAUUUAAACGCAUCGCACAACAAUUCUAUUGGCCUCAUAUGCGAUUGCAGAUUCAGAAAUAUAUUGCGGCAUGCUCGGUGUGUCAAAAAAAUAAGUCUGCUACGACUUUACCAGCAGGUUUACUUCAGCCAUUGCCGAUUCCUCACCAAGUUUGGGACGACAUCGCAAUGGAUUUUAUUGAUGGGUUGCCUCCUUCCUCUGGUAAAACUUCUGUUCUGGUAGUAAUUGACAGAUUGAGUAAAUAUGCUCAUUUUUUGCCAUUGUCUCAUCCAUACUCUGCUAAGGUCAUAGCUGAAUUAUUUGUAAAUGGAGUUGUCAAGUAUCAUGGCAUGCCUAGGUCGAUCGUCAGUGAUCGUGACCCAAUUUUCAUGAGCCAUUUUUGGCGUGAGUUCUUCAAGCUCUCUGGAACCCAAUUAAAUAUGAGCUCUUCUUACCACCCGCAAACGGAUGGCCAAUCCGAGGUUACUAACAGGUGCUUGGAGCAGUACCUUCGUUGUUUCGCCAGUCAGCAGCCUCGAAAGUGGUGUUCAUUCUUACCUUGGGCGGAAUACUGGUAUAACACAUCUUUUCACAUUUCUAUUGGUAUGACACCAUUUCUGGCAUUGUAUGGUAGGAAUCCUCCAAUGAUUCCGCGGUAUGAAUUGGGUUCUUCUCCAGUUAAUGAGGUCGAUCAAGUUUUGGCUACCCGUGAUGAGAUUUUGAAGGAGCUUAAGCUUCACUUGUCACGUUCCGUAGAGUACAUGAAACAGGUGACAGAUAAAAAACGCAGGGAUGUGGAGUUCUAUCCAGGUGAUUUUGUCUAUCUUAAGUUACAACCGUAUAGACAACAGUCAGUGUAUAGGCGUGCAUUUCAGAAGCUGGCUAGUCGUUUUUAUGGACCUUUCAUGGUUGAAGAAAAGAUUGGUUCCUUAGCUUACCGCCUGCAGCUUCCUUCCGAAUCCAAGGUUCACCCGGUCUUUCAUGUCUCCUUACUUAAGAAACAUGUGGGGGAUACUGUUCCUGUUUCUUCUGAAAUUCCUCCACUCACUGAUGAUGGAUAUUUUGUUCUUGAGCCUGCUGAGAUUUUGGAUACGAGGUGGGUUCGUCUUGGUAAUCGUUUUACGGAAGAAAGCCUUGUUCGUUGGAAGCAAUUGCCCCCUGAAGAUGCCACUUGGGAAGUUUCUUCGGACUUAUCUGCUCGGUUUCCAAAUUUGAACCUUGAGGACAAGGUUCCUCUUCAA